CGGUUAAGUUAUUAAGGGCGCACGGUGGAUGCCUUGGCACUAGGAGCCGAUGAAGGACGGGACUAACACCGAUAUGCUUCGGGGAGCUGUAAGUAAGCUUUGAUCCGGAGAUUUCCGAAUGGGGAAACCCACUGCUCGUAAUGGAGCAGUAUCCUUA
rnacentral:rRNA from 1 species